UACGGAGGGUGCAAGCGUUGUCCGGAUUUAUUGGGUUUAAAGGGUGCGUAGGCGGCCCUGUAAGUCAGUGGUGAAAUACUGCAGCUUAACUGUAGCAUUGCCAUUGAUACUGUAGGGCUUGAGUACAGAUGAGGUAGGCGGAAUUGAUGGUGUAGCGGUGAAAAUGCAUAGAUACCAUCAAGAACACCGAUUGCGAAGGCAGCUUACUAGCUGUAACUGACGCUGAGGCACGAAAGCGUGGGGAUCGAACAGG
rnacentral:rRNA from 1 species